CUUCCGAUCAGUGGCGGCAAUCAUGUCUUCAGCGAAGGAUGCCGAUCCCUCCCUUGGUUAUCUGGCCCGGAAAGAUACCGAGGUGAAGCUGCCUCGGCCAACGCGGGUGAAAAACAAAACACCGGCCCCCAUUCAGAUUACCGCGGAGCAGAUACUGCGCGAGGCACGGGAACGUCAGGAAGCUGAAAUCCGGCCUCCCAAGCAGAAGAUCACUGACUCAACUGAACUCGCUGAGUAUCGGCUUCGCAAAAGAAAGGAGUUUGAAGACCUAAUCAGACGGAUUCGAUGGAAUAUUAGUGUAUGGAUUAAAUACGCACAGUGGGAGGAAUCACAGAAAGACUUCAAUAGAGCUCGUUCUGUUUGGGAACGUGCACUCGAGGUUGAUUACCGGAAUCACACGCUAUGGCUCAAAUACGCAGAGGUGGAGAUGAAGAACAAGUUCAUAAAUCAUGCCAGGAAUGUAUGGGACCGUGCUGUCACGCUUUUGCCUCGUGUGGAUCAGCUCUGGUACAAGUACAUUCACAUGGAGGAGAUGCUUGGAAAUGUGGCCGGGGCUAGACAGAUUUUUGAAAGAUGGAUGAAUUGGAUGCCUGACCAACAAGGAUGGCUUUCUUAUAUCAAAUUUGA
rnacentral:misc_RNA from 1 species